UACGAAGGGGGCUAGCGUUGCUCGGAAUGACUGGGCGUAAAGGGCGCGUAGGCGGCUUGCACCGUCAGAUGUGAAAUUCCUGGGCUUAACCUGGGGGCUGCAUUUGAUACGUGUGGGCUUGAGUGCGGAAGAGGGUCGUGGAAUUCCCAGUGUAGAGGUGAAAUUCGUAGAUAUUGGGAAGAACACCGGUGGCGAAGGCGGCGACCUGGUCCGUGACUGACGCUGAGGCGCGAAAGCGUGGGGAGCAAACAGGAUUAGAUACCCUGGUAGUCCACGCCGUAAACGAUGUGCGCUGGAUGUUGGGCGGCCUAGCCGCUCAGUGUCGUAGCCAACGCGAUAAGCGCACCGCCUGGGGAGUACGGCCGCAAGGUUGAA
rnacentral:rRNA from 1 species